rnacentral:rRNA from 1 species
AUGUAUAUCAAGAAGGUGGUAAUUCAAGGGUUUAAGAGCUACAGGGAGGAGACCUCAACUGACCCUUUCAGCCCCAAAGUUAACGUAGUUGUUGGUGCAAAUGGAUCUGGCAAAUCGAACUUUUUCCACGCUAUACGCUUUGUCCUAAGCGACAUGUUUCAGAACCUGCGCAGUGAGGAUAGGGGAGCUCUUCUCCAUGAAGGUGCUGGACACUCGGUUAUAUCUGCCUUUGUCGAGAUACUGUUUGAUAAUUCGGACAACCGUAUUCCAGUUGAUAGAGAAGAGGUACGCCUGCGGAGGACGGUUUCUUCAAAGAAGGAUGAAUACUACCUGGAUGGGAAACAUGUUAGUAAAACUGAAGUCAUGAACCUGCUGGAGAGUGCUGGCUUCUCUCGUUCUAAUCCAUACUAUAUUGUCCAGCAGGGGAAGAUUGCAUCCCUUACUCUAAUGAAGGAUUCUGAGCGACUGGAUCUUCUCAAAGAGAUUGGCGGUACGCGUGUUUAUGAAGAUAGGCGUCGGGAGAGCUUGAAAAUAUUGCAAGAGACAGCCCAUAAAAGGAAGCAGAUUGGUCAAACUGUCCACUACCUGGAGGAAAGAUUGAGAGAACUUGAUGAAGAGAAAGACGAACUAGUGAAGUACCAGGAGCUGGACAAAGAAAGAAGAUCACUUGAGUAUAAUCUGUUGGACCAUGAACUGAAUGAUACUAAAAACGAAUUAGUUUCAAUGGAUGAUGAUCGAAGAAAAUUUUCUGAAAUGUUGUCUAAUGCGGAUGAUGAAGUGGCAGAUGUACGUGAGAAGGUCAAGAGUUUUGAUAAAGAAAUAGAAGUCUGUACAGAAGGGAUAGAUGAAAUCAAGUCUCAAAAGGAAGAUGCCGAGAAGAAGCGUACUAAAGCACUAAAGCUAGUUACUCAGAUUGAACUGGAUCUGAGAGAUAUAGAAGACAGAAUUUCAAAUGAAAAACGAGCAAAGGAUGAAGCUGCGAAGGAUUUACACAGUAUGAGGAAAGAGAGUGAAAGGUCAAAUUCUGAAUUGGCCGAAAUUAGUAAUGCACACCAGGCCAAAUUGCAGGAAGAGGAGGAGAUGUCAAAAAGCAUAACGGACCGCGAGAAGCAGCUGAGCGUAUUGUACCAAAAGCAGGGGAGGGCAACUCAGUUUAAGAAUGAGGCUGCCAGAGAUAAGUGGCUUCAGAAAGAAAUUCAUGAUCUCGAGCGUGUACUUUCAUCAAAUAAAAAGCAGGAAAGCUUACUCGAAGAAGAGAUUCAGAAACUUACAGGUGAAAUUAAUAGCUUGACGAACUACAUCGAGUCUCGGAGAAGUGAAUCCGGCAAGUUAGAGUCUGCUCUUGCAAACAGACAAAAGGAUUAUAAUGACUUUAUGCAGCAGAAAGAUGCACUUCAAGAUGAAAGGAAAUCAUUGUGGAAGCAGGAAAAUAGCGUAACAGCUGAAAUCGAUAGGCUAAAGGAAGAUAUUGUGAAGGCACAGAAGAGUCUUGACUAUGCCACACCCAGGGAUACCAGGAGAGGCCUGAAUUACGCUAGCAAAAUAGUCAGGGAACGUGGUUUGAAAGGAGUUUUUGGUCCAGUAAUAGAACUAAUUGACUGCGAAGAGAAGUUUUUUACAGCUGUUGAGGUCGCUGCUGGAAAUAGCUUGUUCCAUGUGGUGGUUGCAAAUGACGACAUAUCAACGGAUAUAAUUGAUAUAUGGAGGAAAGGUAAAGAUGGACCUUCAUCAGACAAAGAGGAAGAUAGAGAUGGACGGGUGACUUUCAUACCACUGAACAGAGUGUACGCUCCGCGCGUCAAUAUUCCACAAAGUUCUGAUUUUGUUCCACUGUUGAAGAGGUUAAAGUACCGUGCCGAGCAUCGCCCCGCUUUUGAACUGAUUUUUGGUAGGACAGUUAUAUGCCGGGACCUGGAAACUGCGACCAGGGUUGCACGCAGCAAUGAUCUAGAUUGCAUCACACUUGAUGGUGAUCAAGUUUCAAGUGAUGGUGGUAUGGCAGGAGGUUUCUUUGACUAUAGGCGCUCAAGAUUGAAGUAUGUAAAAAUAAUUAGGGACAAUAAAACAACAAUCCAGGAAAAGACAGUGCAUCUGCAUAAUCUGGGAAAAGAGCUGCAAGAUAUAGAUAGAAAAAUUAUGGAUUUAGUUACCAAACAUCAACAAGUGGAUGCCGAACGUGAUCAUGCCAAGUCGGAGUUGGAACAGUUUAAGGAUGAUAUUACCAGGGCAAUGAAGCAAAAAGGAUUACUUGAGAAAGCCCUUGGAAAGAAGGAAAAAUCACUCGACAACAUCCGCAACCAAAUUGAGCAAAUCCAAUCUGGCAUUGCAACGAAAAAUAAUGAGAUGGGAACAGAACUGAUUGACCAGCUAACAUCAGAAGAAAGAGAUCUCCUUUCGCGAUUGAAUCCUGAAAUUGCUGCAUUGAAGGAGAAGUUUCUCUUGUGUAAAAACAAUCGCAUUGAGAUUGAAACAAGAAAAGAAGAACUGGAGACCAAUUUAUCAACUAAUCUGACGAGGCGUCAAGAAGAGCUGGAAGCGAUAAUUUCAUCUGCAGAUUCUGAAGCCUUGUCUCUUGAAGUCAAAUCAAAAGAGCAACAGCUGAAACAGUCGAAGAGCAAUCUUGAUGAGUUGACUACACUUCUGCAGGCUAAUAUUGAUGCAAUUAAUGACUUUAUGGGAAAGAUGGAGCAACUGAAAAAACAAAGGGAUGAUCUGAAGGUGGUUCAAGCUAAUUUGGAGCAGACUGUGCAAGAUGCAGCGAACGACUUGGAACAGUUGAUGAACAGAAGGAGAAUGCAUCUGGCCAAGCAAGCAGAGUGUAUGAAAAAGAUGCGAGAUUUGGGCUCGUUGCCCGCUGAUGCUUUUGAAAAGUACAAGGGAAAAGAUAGGCUGCUGCUGCAGAAGCUGCUUCAUGACCGCAAUGAGCAGUUGAAGCAAUUUAGUCAUGUCAACCAAAAGGCUCUUGACCAGUAUGUGAACUUCAAUGAACAACGCGAUCAACUGCGGAGAAGACGGGAUGAACUUGCCCUUGGUGACAAGAAAAUUCGAGACUUGAUAUCGCUUUUAGACCAAAAAAAGGAUGAAUCGAUCGAACGCACAUUUAAAGGAGUUGCAAGGCACUUCCGCGAAGUGUUCUCUGAAUUAGUGCAAGGUGGCCAUGGAGCCUUGGUUAUGAUGAAGAAAAAGGAUGGUGAUGCCGAGGACGAUGACAAUGAUGAGGACGGGCCACGUGAAGCAGAUCCUAAAGGGAGAAUCGACAGAUACAUUGGCGUGAAAGUCAAGGUUUCCUUCACUGGCAAGGGAGACACUCAGUCCAUGAAACAGUUGUCCAGGGGACAGAAGACAGUGGUGGCAUUGACACUGAUCUUUGCCAUCCAACGAUGUGAUCCGGCUCCGUUCUACCUCUUCGACGAGAUCGACGCCGCUCUGGAUUCUCAGUACAGAACAGCCGUCGGCAAUGUGGUGCGACGUCUGGCUGACAUGGCGGACACCCAGUUCAUCGCAACCACAUUCAGGCCAGAGAUUCUGAAAGUUGCGGAUAAGAUAUACGGUGUGGCGCACAAGAGCAGAGUGAGCUACAUCGACGUGGUAUCCAAGGAGCAAGCGCUGGACUUCAUUGAGCAGGACCAGGCGCAAAAUGCCAGCUGA